rnacentral:rRNA from 1 species
CGGACGGGUGAGUACUGUCUGGGAAACUGCCCGAUAGAGGGGGAUAACUACUGGAAACGGUAGCUAAUACCGCAUAACGUCGCAAGACCAAAGAGGGGGACCUUCGGGCCUCUUGCCAUCGGAUGUGCCCAGAUGGGAUUAGCUAGUAGGUGGGGUAACGGCUCACCUAGGCGACGAUCCCUAGCUGGUCUGAGAGGAUGACCAGCCACACUGGAACUGAGACACGGUCCAG